AUUGGCUGAGUUGUGCUUUAUGGAUUUAUUCAUAGCAAAAGUAUACAGAUGAGUAUACUGUCUUUAAAACUAGUUUGAGCAUGGAUCCAGGUUUGCUGUUCCUUGGUGCCAUACUGAUUCCUGUAA